rnacentral:tRNA from 1 species
CGCUUUUAGUUCAGUUCGGUAGAACGUGGGUCUUCCAAACCCAAUGUUGUAGGUUCCAAUCCUUCCGAGCGUG